GACCAUUUUGAAACAUCAAAGCUUUACAAUCAGAGAGAGUUCAGAGACAGAUAUAUUGACUAUUUCCAGAACAAGAUCAACAGCCCUUUCCUGAAGAACAUUGUGGUGAACCUAGAGGAUCGAUUCCCAGACCUGCCACUCCUCCAGAAGUUGGAGGUGACUUGAACACCCGGAAAUUCCCUGGGGAGGAGCCAACCUGCCAUGGGAAAGAUGGCAUUUAACAUUGACCUGGCUGAGCACUUCCACCUUCCAGUAGACAAGACCCUAAGUGAGUGGAGGCAGGUGUGGAGCACUCUGAGUGACAGCUGACUUGCAGCAGAACAGGCCAUGGAGUGGGUGGACAACAUUUUCAUAACAGAGGGAUGAGAAGUUGACCUUGAGAGAGGACUAGAAC